UCCUCCUGCAAAGGUAUGUUUUUGGUUCUUUAUCCUUGGACACGUUAAGUAUUGGAGACAAAGAAAUGUGGAUUUGGCAAAGUCUGGGGCCAGCUUGCUCCACACAGGCUCAAGAUCAACCAUCCCACACAG
ensembl:snoRNA